rnacentral:rRNA from 1 species
AUUGCCCUAGUAACGGCGAGUGAAGCGGCAACAGCUCAAAUUUGAAAUCUGGCGUCUUCGGCGUCCGAGUUGUAAUUUGCAGAGGGCGCUUUGGCAUCGGCAGCGGUCCAAGUUCCUUGGAACAGGACGUCACAGAGGGUGAGAAUCCCGUACGUGGUCGCUAGCCUUUACCGUGUAAAGCCCCUUCGACGAGUCGAGUUGUUUGGGAAUGCAGCUCUAAAUGGGAGGUAAAUUUCUUCUAAAGCUAAAUACUGGCCAGAGACCGAUAGCGCACAAGUAGAGUGAUCGAAAGAUGAAAAGCACUUUGGAAAGAGAGUUAAAAAGCACGUGAAAUUGUUGAAAGGGAAGCGCUUGCAGCCAGACUUGCCUGUAGUUGCUCAUCCGGGUUUCUACCCGGUGCACUCUUCUAUAGGCAGGCCAGCAUCAGUUUGGGCGGUUGGAUAAAGGUCUCUGUCAUGUACCUCUCUUCGGGGAGAACUUAUAGGGGAGACGACAUGCAACCAGCCUGGACUGAGGUCCGCGCAUCUGCUAGGAUGCUGGCGUAAUGGCUGUAAGCGGCCCGUCUUGAAACACGGACCAAGGAGUCUAACAUCUAUGCGAGUGUUUGGGUGUCAAGCCCGAGCGCGUAAUGAAAGUGAACGGAGGUGGGAACCUUUCGGGGUGCACCAUCGACCGAUCCUGAUGUCUUCGGAUGGAUUUGAGUAAGAGCAUAGCUGUUGGGACCCGAAAGAUGGUGAACUAUGCUUGAAUAGGGUGAAGCCAGAGGAAACUCUGGUGGAGGCUCGCAGCGGUUCUGACGUGCAAAUCGAUCGUCAAAUUUGGGCAUAGGGGCGAAAGACUAAUCGA